rnacentral:lncRNA from 1 species
UAAUGCUGAAAAUAUGGUGGAAUUGCGGAAGGAACAUAAAUUAUUUGAGAGAAUAAAUUUUGAAAAUCAUAGGGCCAACUAUAUUCGAUUGUGGGAUGCAUACAUGGAGAGUUUAGAAGGACAAGUGUUGGAGGCUUUGCAGCAUAUAUCUACCGAGGAUUAUAUGACGUGGUAUAGAGAAAUUACUCGACGACGGAUACACCAUACUCGACCCUUUAGGCGUCAAGGGGAAGAUUAUGAGCCACGGGUAUUCAUUG